CUGUGUAUUUCUCUUUUUUUUUUUCCCCCUUCUACAGGAGUUGCCGAUCCAAAGGCUUGGCUUAGGAGUGAUCCUGAGCCACCAGUACCAUCAAGAUCGAGAUCAAGACCAGGAAUUUCAAAGAAUCCCUGCUGUGAGUGUGUGUGUGAGUGGAGAGGGACAAGGAUGGUCCCAAAAAGCUACAUUCCUAAGGAUACCAAGAGCAUGUCAUUCUCAGUGCAUUGGAAUUUGCUGAGAUGGCAGUCCUUGAGGUGGCAGUCCUGUACACGACAGCCACAGUGGUCACAGCAGUGGGUCACUUGAAGGUGCAUAAAUGGCAGUCCUUGAGGUGGCAGUCCUGUACACGACAGCCACGGCGGUCACAGCAGUGGGUCACUUGAAGGUGCAUAGAUGGCAUCCUUGAGGUGGCAGUCCUGUACACGACAGCCAUGGCAGUCACAGCAGUGGGACACUUGAACGUGCAUAGGUGGCAGUCCUGUACAUGACAGCCAUGGCGGUCACAGCAGUGGGACACUUGAAGGUGCAUAGGUGGCAGUCCUGUACACGACAGCCAUGGCAGUCACACCAGUGGGACACUUGAAGGUGCAUAGGUGGCAGUCCUUGAGUUGGCAGUCCUGCACACGACAGCCACGGUGGUAACAGCAGUGGGACACUCAAAGGUGCAUAGAUGUAUGUAUACACACACCUUAAUUGUUUACUACUUCUUAGUGUUUGCCAUAUUCCUUCCCAUAAAUAGUUGUUUAAUAAUUGUUUACCUUCAAGUGAACAAUGCAAACAAAAUUGUGAGCACAUACUGUAAACAUCAAAUAACUUGGAACAUCUCAUCCCACAUUUCCCUUACUGUAUAUUUACAUGUUAUAUUUGUACAAGCAGUUAUUUAUUUUAUCUUCCUUUUUUUUUUUUUUUUUUCUAAGGUUCAUAUUUUAAUUUUGUCUCCAGUAGAACAUGAAGCAUCCAGGAUUGAUGCCUGAGUGGUCAUGGACAUGUCACAAGUACAGCUUCCACAUUAUGGGGAGAAAUUAAUUGUGUUAUAUCAAGUUAUUAUUUUAUGAUUUUAAAAUAACAAAAUGUUUGUAAUAUCACCAUGUGAUGUUUACUACUUGGUUAUUUGUGCAGAUGUUUACAGGACAAAUUUUGGAUGGCUGAAAACGAAUGAUGACACAAUCACCCGGACCUUCCACCACAUGUUAGCUGGGAUGCCAGACAAGGUGGCGUCCCUUUUCAGGUGCCCGCACAGUGUCCCAUCACUGAGCAGCAGCUUGGGGCAGCAGGCCAGACACCACCACAGCCUUGCCCCAAGCCUGGUGACUGCUUUUAUUUGCUUCACAAUGUUGGCUUAGAAAAAUCAGGUUGCUGCAGAACAUCAUCAGCAAGCUCAAAAAACAAGGGAUUGAGGUAGCAGACCCUGAAGAAUCCACAGCAGCUGAAAACUCUAUUUCUCCAUAUGCAAGCCCUGAAGUGCAGGAGUUUAUCAGAGC